rnacentral:rRNA from 1 species
ACUCCUACGGGAGGCAGCAGUGGGGAAUAUUGCACAAUGGGGGAAACCCUGAUGCAGCCAUGCCGCGUGUGUGAAGAAGGCCUUCGGGUUGUAAAGCACUUUCAGUAGGGAGGAAGGUAGUGUAGUUAACACCUGCAUUAUUUGACGUUACCUACAGAAGAAGCACCGGCUAACUCCGUGCCAGCAGCCGCGGUAAUACGGAGGGUGCGAGCGUUAAUCGGAAUUACUGGGCGUAAAGCGCAUGCAGGCGGCCUGUUAAGUCAGAUGUGAAAGCCCGGGGCUUAACCUCGGAAUUGCAUUUGAAACUGGCAGGCUAGAGUCUUGUAGAGGGGGGUAGAAUUUCAGGUGUAGCGGUGAAAUGCGUAGAGAUACUGAAGGAAUACCAGUGGCGAAGGCGGCCCCCUGGACAAAGACUGACGCUCAGAUGCGAAAGCUGGGGAGCAAACAGGAUUAGAUACCCUGGUAGCACAGAG